GAUGAACGCUGGUGGCGUGCCUAACACAUGCAAGUCGAGCGAUUCUCUUCGGAGACGAGCGGCGGACGGGUGGGUAACGCGUGGGUAACCUGCCCUGUAGACACGGAUAACAUUCCGAAAGGUAUGCUAAUACGAGAUAACAUGCUUCUAUCGCAUGGUAGAAGUAUCAAAGCUUUUGCGGUACAGGAUGGACCCGCGUCUGAUUAGCUCGUUGGUGAGGUAACGGCUCACCAAGGCGACGAUCAGUAGCCGACCUGAGAGGGUGAUCGGCAACAUUGGAACUGAGACACGGUCCAAACUACUACGGGAGGCAGCAGUGGGGAAUACUGCACAAGGGGCGAAAGGCUGAUGCAGCGACGCCGCGUGAGCGAUGAAGGCCGUCGGGUCGUAAAGCUCUGUCCUCAAGGAAGAUAAUGACGGUACUGGAGGAGGAAGCCCCGGCUAACUACGU
rnacentral:rRNA from 1 species